UGCUAAAAUUACACGUUUUUAACUGAAAUUGAUUGAAAAAUUUAAUCUUUUGGAAUUGAUAAAUUUUAGUCAUUUUCGUGAGUCCAGUGAGGCCACGCUAAUUUUUUUUGACAAAAAUUUCAAACGAUUCCGGUCGUACUGAUUAUUCUACUCGCAGAUGCCAAAAAAAAGGUUUUCACGCAUCUUUUGCAUUGUCAACUCCUGACACAAGACUCGGGCUAUGCGACGUUGAGCGACUUUUAUAAAGCACGUAUCUCCAUUCCAGAACAUCUCCUGUCUCCCUCGCGGCUGGUGCAUUCGCACGCAGCAGACCUCUCGCUUCCUCGAGACACGUGUACGCUGCAAAGCAGCCCCUCACCUCGCUCGUGGGCGCAUGAGCCCCACCCUUGCGAACAAUUCGCGAUGUAGCGCGCACAACCAGCCUACAGUCUCGCUCCGCGUAACUUCCUCGCCAAACUCGACGUUCCUUUUGCUAUUUUAAUCGAUAUAAUUCCUUCGGAAUUGUGGAUUUGGCAAUGAGGAACCUCCGACGGAUCCGCGGAGGAGAAUUUUCAGGGAUGAAAGACUCCGGCACAUCGGAGAGCACAGUGCAAAAUUUCACGAAUUUUUCUCCGUUUGCGGAGAACCUUUUCGUCGAGGGAACACAUUUACGGAAAAAUUCCCAAUCAUUUGAGCAUAUUUCUCCAAAUUCGUGACAUUCUCCUCAAUUUCUUCCAGGAUUUAAGUUCAAUUCAAAGUUCAAAGCGAAAUUCUUGACUUUCCGAAAGUAUUUCAUAAUCUCGAGGAAUUUCACUAGGUUUUCUGUAAUGGUGAGCGCCAUUUUGGAGUUUUAAGGACUUGUCAUGGUCUCGAGCACGUUUAGGUUCGCCCGAAGCAAGAGUUUGACAACUUCUCUAAUUAAGAGCCACCGAAAGGUCGUCGGAAUCCCUUCUAAUCCGGAGUAGAUGUCGACUCGUUAAUGUUGCAAGUUUUUUGAAUUGUUCAGGAGGUUCACCGCAAUCAAUUUCGGUGCAGGAGUCAUGAACUACGUAAAUUUUCAUCAGCCCUCUCAAAAGCGCUAACUCGGACGUGAACAUCAUUUUAAAAAUGUCGUUCCAAUACCAACGGGAAUAAAACAUUCCGCAACGUGCUUUCAAGAUUUCCUCUUGCUGGGGAGCGUAAACAAUAAAUUUAUGAAAAGUUACACUACUCGAGAUACUCCGUAAGCGUGCUGACCUUUCAUGCGUGUUACAUGAAAAUUGUGUAGACGCGGAUGCAUCCCACACGGACGUAAGGAAACUCUUACUAAAAUCAACGAAGUGGUACGAGCAGUGCAAACAAGACGGGCAAGAAGCUUACAGCGAGAAGUCUAAUUCGCGAAGCCGUUAAUCAGCAUUUUCUGAUUCGUAAAUUACGGUAAAUAAGAUCGUUUGCGACCUGGCAAUUCUCUUCGUAUUUGCUAUUGAUUAGGAAGAAUUCUGGUUUCGUUAACGAAAGUAUAAAAAUUCCGAGAUUUGCAUGCCAAAUUGUUAAAUUUUCGAAACUGAAGAUGUCGAAAAUUCAACAUCGUGGCGGCGUGGGGAAAAUUGGAAAUCGUGCUUUUUGGGAUUAUUUGACCCAAAUUUGCUUUUGGAUUUUCGAAACUUAAACCGGCAGGUUUGAGAUGACACGAAGAGGCGAAAUUUCAUUCUGCUCUUCGCCACAGUCCGAAGCUCCGAGACUCCGGUCGAAUGUUGGAUUGGCACUCGAUCGCCCGAGCCUGGACGCUGCAACAUCGAAGCAUCGUACAAUUUAAUAUUUUCGUAUUUCUCAAAUAUUCCAUUUGAGAAACUACGGAACGGAAAAUUUGAAAGGUCAGAAACGACGGGAGCAUGAAACGCAGCGACUGCCUCGUUUCGCGAGUCGCGUACGGGAGAGACGGGAGGAGUGGGAACGAAAAGCAAGUGGCAAUUCGAGGAGGCUAUUUUCCACUCUUUCUCACUUGGAGGAGUCGCAGCUCCGAUGGGAAUAGAAAGGGUGGUAGGAAUAUCGAUAUUCUAGCGUCUUCUAUGGAGUCCUGCUGCCAAGCUCAGACCGCCCUUACACGUGGCAGGGUUAAAGUGGCAUGAAAAAAUGCUCGCCGUGAAAUUGGAUCUCGAGGGGUUGCCAUGAGCUGAGAGAACACAGCAGAGAUGAAAUCAACUAAGCGGAGAAAGAACUUGAAUGCGCCAUGCCGGAGCUGGAUAAAUCGAGAGCCGGGCCGGGGGUUCGGUCGUAUAUCGAAAAGUGUCUUCCCGUAUAACGUCAUCGGCGACUCGUUUAUUUUCGACAUUGCGAUUUCGGCAGCGCGCGCGCACACGCGCGCAAGCUCAGAUUAUCCAAUUUUCUCUGCUUAUUUCUCGUACUGAACUAGCAUCCAGAAAAUCCAGUAAAAAUGUCAACUUCCUUCGCAGAUCCGAGAAGAUGCGCGAUGAAUUAACAACACACGCCGCUCGCAGCACCGGAUCUGCCCCGACACAGUGGUCGCUCAUCCCUCUGAAAAAAGAGCGAUUCAGAGAUUUGAGCUACGACGAGUACCACUGUACGUCUGCACUAGUUUUCCUUUCCUUUUUUUCGCAUAUACCCUUGGCGUUCCCCGGUGGGUUCUAAACGAGGGCGCCAAGUGCCAUACCUGCGCCGUUCCUCUGCGCGGAGGCGGCCGCCACCCUCUCUGCUCCGCGACUCGUCUUCACGCCACAACUUUCGCUCGGAGCGUCCUCUGCGGGUGACCCUCCCAAUUCCCCCCGACGAACGAGUCCCUCGACGCUAUUUUCAGCCCAUUGCCACUUCCACCGGGUGUUAUAAUACUAGUGGUUUCUCUCUCCUGUUUGCUCCGGCUGAAGUUUCAACGACGGGCGCGAAGGGUGAACAAAAACCAGAGUGAGGCUACGUCGUCGGGGCGAAUGUGGGUUAGAUUGAGGUAGGCAACCAUAGACGGCACCCACCGACGACCUUAUUCGAACCGCAGAUUUGACAUGACGCAAGGUCAUCGUGGAAACUCAAGAGCCAGACCGCCAAGGGAAUUACGAAGCACGAGGAGGGGCGAGGGGAGCUGAAGGCGGCUGUACGGACCUUGCGCUUCUCCCUUGUACACAAUCUUCGCUGAGGAACAGACGAAACUCCUGGCGAUUCGAGCCACUCGGCCUUUUAACUGCAUUACGUCUUGGGACAUCGUUGCCUUCGAGCCCUUCUCUUCUCUGCCGUACCGAACCCUGCCUCGUCUCUUCCUGUCUCCGGUGGGAUGUUUCAGCUGUUCAGUAACACGCGUUACUGCGGAUGUGGGACGACGACGGGUGGGGGGAUGAAAUGUUGGAGUUACUGAAAUUUCGAACAGCUGAAGUCUCGAGUUUAUAAAUAUUCGAACGAUAAUUUGGAGACUGAUGAAUUCGAUUAGAGGUUUGAAUGUUAGAGAUAAAUAGAGUAGAAACUUGAGAGUUCGGGGCAUGUUUACGUCGAAAUUAAAAUGUAAUGAUCGCCCAUGGAACGACGACUGAAAUAUCGAUUUUCCGAUAUUGGAUUAUGGAAGCAGGUUUCGAAAUAAAUGGCACAAAGUUUAA
rnacentral:lncRNA from 1 species